GCCAAUGAAUUUUCAGAAUCUUUGCCGAAUCUGCGCAGAUUUAGCAAAGUCUGCCUCUCGUGAACGCACCCACUAUAUGACAGUCAAAAUGGCAGCCUCCUUGUGCUGGUUGAAUCGCAUUGCAUUCCACUUUAGAAUCGGAGACAAACUUAUUAGAGAUCUAGUCAGUAAGUACAAAUUUCAUUUAUUCGCGGAGAAACAGACGUGUAACGCCAGGCAGGUGGCUUUGAAGAAUGGAUCGGCUGUUUUUUGUUGUUAACGAAAGACAAGCUUGACUUUCUCGACAGGAAAGCCAAGUUAAUACUUUUUUGAAUGAGUAGGUCCACGACUGCCGUGGUCUCGAAACUUUUAACUACAACAUCGGAUUUGAGCACGAACCGGAGUUUCUUUACGAUGUCUAUCAGCCCUACGCCGUAAACACAGUAUAUAACGUUUAUUUUGAAUUCAACGAUUGUAGUGGGGUCUUCCAAAAUGCUUCGUAACCAAGGAUGUGAUAUUCUGAUCCCACCUACAAAAGUACAGGGCAGGUGUUGCUACGUACGUUACUUACUCGGUGAUCAAAUCUUGGGAAUGUGUGCCACACGCUCAUCGACAGGACAAUAACGUCGGAUCCGUGGCAGUUGGUGACUUGUGCGACAUAACUCAUUUUGACCACAUUACCGAGGCAUGCCCCUAGCAAUGCAAUCCCGAAGUAUUAUUGGAAUGAGAUGAAGAUGUGGACGAGGGGUAUGUUAUCACAGGAGACAGUAUAGGGCUUCGUCUGACAGCUGUGCAGUUCUGGAAAUGCAGUGAAGUGGGACUGAAACUCCCAUCACACAAGAAACAGCAAGACUGCAAGUUUGUGGUGGCUAAAUCCUUACCACAGCAAGGUACUAAACUUGGCACUCUUAUCAGGUGAAGAAGUAUACCUGUUUUUUCUCUUAAAACACAAAAUACUUGAUUACAUGUAAUGCCUCCUCUGUACGAUCACAAGGCUAGCUUAAGUAUGAAGAAGCACAUUACAAUUCAUUAUCGCAAAGUUUGAGUUAAACACUUUGGGAAUGGAGGUUGUUCCUAACCCAAAAUGUUCGUAACUCUGAAAAUUAGUUUUCAAUGAUUUUAAUAAAAUGUGUACACAUGCUAUGUCCAGCCUUAAUCCGGUGAAUAAUGCAAUACUCAUAUUGUUAUGGUUCUCAAGUCUUUAAAAUACUUAUGAAUGGAAAAAGGCUACAUUUAAGUUACUAUUGAAAUGCAAUUCACAAUUUGAAUGAUGUACUGACACGUGUUUUUGGGGGGUUUUUUUGGCUCACAACCCACGUAACUGUAGCAACACAUUUAAACGUUCAGGAAAACCUGGGUUAAGGUAGUGCUGGUUUUUAAACAAUGCAUUCACGCAGCUUGCUCAGUCAUUCAGCCUCCUUUGGCUUUAAAAAAAAGAAACCUGUGCUUUGUUUAAAAUUAAAAUGUUCCUAGUAAAAUUGCCCAUACUUGCUUUGAAAUGUGCCUCACCUCUCUGUGUGGAUACAUUUGUUUGUACAGUAAUGUUGCCUUCACUCUGACUAGCAUGCUGCUUAUAGGAGUGCCUAUCUGGUUGAAUUGCAUGCAUGGUUGAGUGUUUGUAUACUUCCAGCUGAGAGUGGGGUGUUUAGUAGACCGGUCAGUUGGUAAGUUUGGUGUUCGUAACUCUUGAGUGUGAGUGUAAAGUGUAUAAAGUAUAAUACUGCAAAAGCCUUGGCUGUUAUUAUUUUACAAGGAAUUGGAAAAUAUAAAACACAUGAAAAGUACAGCAAAUUCAACACUUUAUGAAUGAUUAAAGAUUUUUUUUUCCUGUAACUGAAAACAAUAAAACAUUCAGUUUAGGUACAUCUCCCCAGAAUAAUGUGUUUCUGUAACUUGUGUAGUUGGUUAGUGCAACUGCACGAUCAUGUAUAACUUGUUAUGAUCGAGUAUUUAUAAUUAGGUGACUAUUAUAUUAAAGUGUAUCUGUUAGGGGGUUCCCAUUCACUCACCUAGUAAAAGCGAAGCAAGGUGAAUAAUCCAAUCAAGAGCUCGCUGGUUCUCAGCCAUGCUUGUCGACAAUCUAGUCUGGGGGCCCACAGGGAGCACUGCACUGGCCUUUGUGCUUAGACUAAACACAGAAUAUAGUGAUAUGUGCUUGAAAAUAUAAUAGCACCUAUUUAAAAGUAUAGGAAUAGAUCAUGCAACAAAUCCAAAAGAUGUAUUUUUUUAUAGAAUAUUCUUGUUUUAAUAUCUCAAGACAAUUUAAACAGUUUAAAGACAAACUAAUAUAGAAACCCAUUGUCCUUAGUUAAAUAUGUCACAUUAUAGAAACGAGCAGACAAACUUUUUUUUUUUUUUUUUUUAAAUACAUUCAUUCAGCUCUGGUACUAGUGGUCAAACUUGAUUGGGAUCAAAAUAAUAUUUCACUACAUAUCAAAAAUGAAAUGUAUGAAUUGUCUUUGUUAAUCGCAACCUACAGUAUUGAUAAUAAUGGACUGCCAUUAAAAGUUGUACAGGAAUAGAUAUUUUGUGGAGGUUCUCUUUUUGCACUGUACUAUAUAUUAUAAAUCCAUUUAGUCAAAACACAAGUAGCUUCAUUAGAUCCAGAUAUAUUAUCUAAAAAUAGAAAGUCAGCGCAGAUUGUACAAACUAAAUUAAUGUAUUUAUUAUCCAUGUACAAAUCAGGUUUCUUGAUCAAACUGUUAGAGAAAAGUGUCUUCCACUCCCAGGCUGUUCUGAUGUUUAUUGCCUUUUGGUUUGUAAGGAGUGUUCUCGACGGGUGUCAGUGAUAGAACUCUCAGCAUAUAUCUUCUUUUUUUCCUUUACUUGGGGAGUACUUCUACAGGGCUCAUCAACAGAAGGCAACAAAACCCAUGAUUUCAUCACGUCCUCCCUUUAUUCAAUAUGGAAGGCCACGGCAGUAAAUGACAGUGAUUUCAGUGUGCAAUUCCACAUGGUAGGACCUUUGUGAGUUACUUCCCUUUCAUUUCCCCACAGAACAUGAACUUGUUAUCUCAAGCAGGAGUAGAUAUGGAAAGGAAGAGGAGAUGCAGAUUCUCUUGCUCAUAGAUUUCACUUUGGAUGUGUCAACCUUAAAAGAUAACGGACUGUUUAGCAAAUAGUUUUGAGCACAGAUUCUGCAAACUCUAAAUAAAAUUCACAGAAUUGCGCUCUGCAGCCCCCGUCAGUAACAGCAUAUUUAUUUGUGGCACAACUUUACAGUAUUGGUUAAUAGCAUAAGAAGAAAUUAGCAAUGUAAAUAAGCAAUGUAAGUGCACCAAAGAGCAGAUGAGAGCAACGUUAUUCCUGAUGAAAUAGAGAGGGACAGUGAGCCCUGGCAUUGACUACCAGUUAAAUAUUGAUGGUGAUUUUGUUUAAUUAUUAUUACAGUAAUCCGUUGUGUAUCCGCCAUGAGCAAGCUCUUCAGCAACAUUACAGCGCUAAUGCAAAAUGUCUACAGGAAAGCGAGUUACCUGAUACUAAAGCCGACUGGGCUAAAGAAGCUGAAAUUCACCGACGUGUGAGUGAGACAGAACCAGAACCAGGGUUGGAUACCGAAGAGUGAGUAAGCAAGCUGAAACUGCAGACAGCCGGGCGAGUAGCCGGAGUUUAUUAGUUCAGAUUGUAGAUCCCACCAACAUUUUCGUACUGUUCAGUGUGUUGAGUUGUUAAGUGUGUUGAUAUGUAAAUAAAUCCUGUUUGCCUGCGGGCCACAUCAACUUCAACCACCGUCUCGAUCUCCUGCCUGUCACUCAGCAGCGAAUGCACGCACUCACACGGCUACUCUGUCACAAGCAUUAACACCCUGUAUCUUUAUAAACAAGAGAUUUAGGGGAUCUCCCUAAUAAAAGCUGAAUCUUACAACAAUUGUGUAAAUAUAGUAAUUGUUACAGCUGUGUAUAAUGGUAUUUAAAACAGGAUUAAUUUAUCACACUUUUUACAUAUCCGCCCUUUCUCUGGUCCCAUCGCAGUCGGAUACGCAACAGACUACUGUAUUGUUUUCUCUUUAAAACACAUUGAUACACAGAUCAAACAAAAUAUGUUUCUGUAUGACAGUCCUGCUUACAUAAAUAACUUUCAAAAAACGUGCAAGCUAAAGCAAGUAUAUAAUAUUUUUUCUUUGUUCCGAUUAGGUUUCUUAUAGUUUUUGUAAAACACCUUUCCUAACUAACCUCUUAUCUGGCUCAUAAAAACCAAAGAACUUCGAAGGCCACCGACAAUUUUAAUUUUUUACCCUUUUCUUCUUUUAAAUAAAUGUAAAAACAAGGCAAAAUAGUGCAAGAGGUAAUGGUAUGAUCUGAUUCUCUAGCUAAAUCCUAGACAGUGAACACAGACUAAUCUGGAUAGUCUGUUAACCCCAAAAUGGUUUAUUGGCGUUACCAAGCGUAACUAAAAUGUGGCACCAACUGGAUUUUUUUUUUUUUUAUUACUAUUAUUAAUUUAAUUAAUUGUUACUACGAUUUCAUAAGCAGCCCCUCCCCCAAAGAACACCAUCCCUACACAACCCUAAAAGGAUCUUUAAAAAUGUUCAGUGGCACAGGAAGGGCUUGGUUCCUCAAGCGCCAAUCUUUGUGUGUCAGGAAUCUGUCGCAAAAGGUUUCCAACAGGGCAAAUAAAAAUUAAAAACAAAAAAACAGUGGAAGCGUCUCUUCUUAAAAUUGUCUGUGCACGGCUUUAUUUUCUGGACUUGAUUUGCUUUUGCUUUUUUUUUUUU